AGAUUGAACGCUGGCGGCAUGCCUAACACAUGCAAGUCGAACGGGAGUAGCAAUACUCUAGUGGCGGACGGGUGAGGAAUACGUAGGAAUUUGCCCUUAAGUGGGGGAUAACCCGGGGAAACCCGGAUUAAUACCGCAUGACCUCGAAAGAGCAAAGUGGGGGAUCGCAAGACCUCACGCUUUUGGAGAAGCCUACGUCGGAUUAGCUAGUUGGUGAGGUAAUGGCUCACCAAGGCGACGAUCCGUAACUGGUCUGAGAGGAUGAUCAGUCACACCGGAACUGAGACACGGUCCGGACUCCGUACGGGAGGCAGCAGUGGGGAAUAUUGGACAAUGGGCGCAAGCCUGGAUCCAGCAAUGCCGCGUGUGUGAAGAAGGCCUUGGUAGUAAGCUACGUUUAAGUUAGGGAAAGAAAAACUCGACUACUUAACACUAGUGUAAUCGUUAGACGGUACCGA
rnacentral:rRNA from 1 species